rnacentral:rRNA from 1 species
CCUACGGGAGGCAGCAGUGAGGAAUAUUGGUCAAUGGGCGGAAGCCUGAACCAGCCAAGUAGCGUGCAGGAUGACGGCCCUACGGGUUGUAAACUGCUUUUAUACGGGAAUAACGCGCCUUACGUGUAGGGCUUUGCAUGUACCGUAUGAAUAAGGACCGGCUAAUUCCGUGCCAGCAGCCGCGGUAAUACGGAGGGUCCGGGCGUUAUCCGGAUGUAUUGGGUUUAAAGGGAGCGUAGGCCGGAUGUCAAGCGUGCUGUGAAAUGUCCGGGCUCAACCCGGGCCUUGCAGCGCGAACUGGCGUGCUUGAGUCCGCGGAAGGCAGGCGGAAGUCGUCGUGUAGCGGUGAAAUGCUGAGAGAUGACGAAGAACCCCGAUUGCGAAGGCAGCUUGCUGCAGCGGAACUGACGCUGAUGCUCGAAAGCGCGGGUAUCGAACAGGAUUAGAUACCCGAGUAGUC